rnacentral:rRNA from 1 species
GACGAACGCUGGCGGCGUGCCUAACACAUGCAAGUCGAACGGUCCGGCACUCAACCGACCCUCAGUCUAGCUGUAGGUGAAGUUGAGUGCCGGAUAGUGGCGGACGGGUGAGUAACGCGUGGGCAACCAACCCUGUACAGUGGGAUAACACCGGGAAACCGGUGCUAAUACCGCAUGACACCUAGAUGGUGCAUACUGUUUAGGUUAAAGGAUUUAACCGGUACAGGACGGGCCCGCGUCCCAUUAGCUGGUUGGUGAGGUAACGGCUCACCAAGGCGACGAUGGGUAGCCGACCUGAGAGGGUGACCGGCCACACUGGGGACUGAGACACGGCCCAGACUCCUACGGGAGGCAGCAGUGGGGAAUAUUGCGCAAUGGACGGAAGUCUGACGCAGCGACGCCGCGUGAGCGACGAAGGCCUUCGGGUCGUAAAGCUCUGUCCUCUGGGAAGAAAAAAUGACGGUACCAGAGGAGGAAGCCCCGGCUAACUACGUGCCCAGCAGCCGCGGUAAGAGUCACG